CAGCAGCCGCGGUAAUACGAAGGGUGCAAGCGUUACUCGGAAUUACUGGGCGUAAAGCGCACGCAGGCGGUCUGACAAGUCAGAUGUGAAAUCCCCGGGCUUAACCUGGGAACUGCAUUUGAAACUGUCAGGCUGGAGUCUUGUAGAGGGGGGUAGAAUUCCAGGUGUAGCGGUGAAAUGCGUAGAGAUCUGGAGGAAUACCGGUGGCGAAGGCGGCCCCCUGGACAAAGACUGACGCUCAGGUGCGAAAGCGUGGGGAGCAAACAGGAUUAGAUACCCCUGUAGUCCCUGUCUCUUAUAC
rnacentral:rRNA from 1 species